rnacentral:rRNA from 1 species
UACGUAGGCAGCAAGCGUUGUUCGGAAUUACUGGGCGUAAAGAGUGCGCAGGCGGUUAUGUAAGUCAGAUGUGAAAUCCCCGGGCUCAACCUGGGAAUGGCAUUUGAGACUGCAUGGCUAGAGUGUGUCAGAGGGGGGUAGAAUUCCACGUGUAGCAGUGAAAUGCGUAGAGAUGUGGAGGAAUACCGAUGGCGAAGGCAGCCCCCUGGAUAACACUGACGCUCAUGCACGAAAGCGUGGGAGCAAACAGG